CACAAAGUUCCCAGGGCCAUCUUUGCUGUACAUCCAAAUGCACAGGCAGGCAUUAAAAUCCCUGGCAGAGCGAUGCUAUCAAAUGGCCAGCCAGAUGCUCCAGCAUGAGUAAUUCACAUUAGUAUAUUAGAUUAUUAUUUAAGUGAAGGCACAAAGUUUAAAAAAAGAAUUUGCAAAGUUUAAAAGCUUAAAAAGGAGGAAUGAAUCUUGUGAAUAUAUCUACAAAACCCCUGUUUUGAAUUAUGUUGCUUGAAUUAUGUUUGUAAACCCUUCUAGAAUGCUCACGAUGUUCCGAUUAAAUCUGGGUUUAGUUUUAUUGUCACAAAGGCUGUUGCUCUUAGCACUUUCUAGGAGCCACCUCUCAUCCUUUCUUGUGUUUAACAUAGCAGCUGCAUUUGAACAACUCACUCUGACCGGCCUUGAGAGAAGACACAGUUCCCAUACUAAAGAAGCUAAUCUCCAUGACAAAAGAUUGCAUAUGCUGUUCACCCUGAUGUGACACUGGCUGAAUCAAAAAUUUUCACUGAAUGAUGAGUCAUUGGGGAAAUGUGCAUGUAAUCAUUCCAUUGCUGCUGGAGGUACACCCUGCUAUUCCACUAGACUGAGGGGUGCCGAGGACAGGUUAAGAUGAUUCCCUGCAAAGGGAAACUAACACAUCCCAGUUCCCUUUGGGAGCUCAUCUUUUGGAGAAACUUACCAUAGAAAGUUAUAAA